UAUAAGGAAAAGCAUCAAAAUUUGACGUACCUUGUAAAUGUGUGUGUUUGUGCAUGCAUGUUAUUUUUACAGGAAAGGAAAAUAUGAUAAGAAGUAAUCUAAUGGACUAUUAUGUGUUGUAUUCUUUGAACAUUUAUUGAUGAAGACAACCACUACGGAAGCGAUUAUAGAAAAUGUAGGAAUCAAAAAUAAACAUGUCAAUUAUACGAGCCCUUUGGCAGUAUGUUACAAAAUGGUGGUUCGGGACAGAGGCAAGAUAUGUAGUUUGCAUUGACCAAUAUCCAAAAGAAAAGGUUCUCAUUGGAAUUGGAGGAAGUACAAAAAUAAUAGCUUAUGUGACAACGUCGUCUCCUGAAUCAUUUAUAAAAUGGCAGAAAAUAGAAAGUAACAGGCCGAUGAACAUCCAAACAGACUCCAUUAAGUAUUCUGGAAGUUCCUGUUACCUUCCAACACCCGAACUUGUUAUUAAUGAUGUUGAUAAAACGGAUUGUGGUGUUUAUCAGUUAUAUGUUACUACAGUCACCGGAACUGUCACUGGUCCUAAAGUUGUACUGGAAGUGUUU